ACAUACAUGUUCAACUACCAUUUAUUAAUCUAAUUAUGACGAAAUUUUUCAGACUAACACUCUAAUUACAACGUCAAACUAUUUAUUGAAAAUGCACAGCAAAUCAAGUCGUUAAAUCUGAUUCGCAUUUACGUUAACAGUAUCUAUAAAUAAUUCAUUGUUCUCAUUUCUUAGAUUUGAUUUUCUCACGAAAACACCAAAUAUCCAACAGCACAAAUAUCAUUAUAUUCAACUAAACACUGAGACAACCUACAUGUUGGUGAUGACACAAUUACAUCUUGAACUUUAGUCAAAAUUGUAGUUGCGCAACCAUAUUUUUCCCCGAGAUUAUUCCUCUGCAAAAUAUUUUGCCAACAAUUUCAGUAGUUCACAACAUCGACAGUAAAAAUAUCUUGGGUUUGGUGCAAUGAAAUAAUAGAUGAACAUGUAAUGGUUGAGGCAUGGCGGUUCAAAAAGAUGAAAGUUCAAAUUUCGCGGGCUUCACAGAACAUGUAAAUGACGGCGCUCCCCCUAGACGCCACAGGACAUCAACAACCGAUGAAAAUUAGUUCCCCAGGGAUUCACAUUGUCAGUAAAACACACGUAAUAUACAAGGAGCCUUCAAA